GGGCAUAUCACGUUCAAACACCGGUUCUCGUAUGAUCACAGAUGUUAAGCAACGUCGAGCCUGGUCAGUACCUAGAUGGGUGACCGACUGGAAAUACCAGAUGCUGUAA